UACGUAGGGUGCAAGCGUUGUCCGGAAUUAUUGGGCGUAAAGAGCUCGUAGGCGGUUCGUCGCGUCGGCUGUGAAAUCCCGGAGCUCAACUCCGGGUCUGCAGUCGAUACUGGCGGGCUCGAGGCCGGUAGGGGGAAGCGGAAUUCCCGGUGUAGUGGUGGAAUGCGUAGAUAUCGGGAGGAACACCAGUGGCGAAGGCGGCUUCCUGGACCGGUUCUGACACUGAGGAGCGAAAGCGUGGGGAGCGAUCCGG
rnacentral:rRNA from 1 species